rnacentral:rRNA from 1 species
CGUGCCUAAUACAUGCAAGUCGAGCGGACAGAUGGGAGCUUGCUCCCUGAUGUUAGCGGCGGACGGGUGAGUAACACGUGGGUAACCUGCCUGUAAGACUGGGAUAACUCCGGGAAACCGGGGCUAAUACCGGAUGGUUGUUUGAACCGCAUGGUUCAAACAUAAAAGGUGGCUUCGGCUACCACUUACAGAUGGACCCGCGGCGCAUUAGCUAGUUGGUGAGGUAAUGGCUCACCAAGGCAACGAUGCGUAGCCGACCUGAGAGGGUGAUCGGCCACACUGGGACUGAGACACGGCCCAGACUCCUACGGGAGGCAGCAGUAGGGAAUCUUCCGCAAUGGACGAAAGUCUGACGGAGCAACGCCGCGUGAGUGAUGAAGGUUUUCGGAUCGUAAAGCUCUGUUGUUAGGGAAGAACAAGUACCGUUCGAAUAGGGCGGUACCUUGACGGUACCUAACCAGAAAGCCACGGCUAACUACGUGCCAGCAGCCGCGGUAAUACGUAGGUGGCAAGCG